UUUGAUGGCGACCGGCGCACGGGUGAGUAACACGUAUCCAACCUGCCGAUGACUCGGGGAUAGCCUUUCGAAAAGAAAGAUUAAUACCCGAUGGCAUAGUUCUUCCGCAUGGUGGAACUAUUAAAGAAUUUCGGUCAUCGAUGGGGAUGCGUUCCAUUAGGUUGUUGGCGGGGUAACGGCCCACCAAGCCUUCGAUGGAUAGGGGUUCUGAGAGGAAGGUCCCCCACAUUGGAACUGAGACACGGUCCAAACUCCUACGGGGAGGCAGCAUG
rnacentral:rRNA from 1 species